rnacentral:lncRNA from 1 species
CCAUGCCGAGCAUGACUCCAGAGAUAAAAGUUUUGUCAACAUCUGAAAUCAACCUAAAUCGGAUAGGAGACACUUUAAUGGUCACAGUUUGAAUUAAGUACUUAACACUCUCCCCCCUGAAGAAAAAUGGCCCUUUGCAGGCUCUCUUUCCUAGUUUUGCUGAAAUCUACGAUAUCCCUGGUGUUUUAUUACAGCAGGAAUUCAACUGUGACAGGCAUAGUAGAGUACUUAAUACCCAGGAUGGAGCUCCUGGGAAGAUUACCUAGAUAUAUGGGGAGUGGGCCCUCCGCACAGCAUCUCUGACUUUAUAUUCAGCUGGCCCAGGGUGCUCCCCCCUCCCCACCCUCUCAGCCUCCUACCCAUUGGGUGGGUAUUGCCAUUUCUCCUUUGUCCUCCUGCUUCCCUGAGCUUCCAAACUGAGCUGCUCUUCUCACUGCUGCCUUUGCUACAGCCCUUUCAACAUAGGAACAGAUCAACGGCUCUUUGCAAUAGAAGGAAAUAAACCCCCCAAAGAAUCCAUGUAGCAAACGGAAACCAGGGACUUGCCCUGUACAUGUGUCCCUUCUGCACAGGCAGUAGGCUCUUCUUGGCACUUCCUUGGUCUCUGCAUCCCUACCUGCCAGGCAGUGUUAAAUAAUACAGGCUCACCUUUCCCAACAGUGGCUCCUGUUGUCCCUUCUCUAUAAAUCAUACACUGGCCCAAGAAUCACUCAGUUUCCUCUAAAAGAGUAUGGGCUGGGUGGAGGAGGAAGAAAGCGUGUUCUAACUCCUUGAUAGCAUCAGGGAGGCUGCUGGGGCUGUGGCGAAACAGUCUAGUCUGAAACUUCUGUCUUGGCACUCCGGCAUCUCUUCUUCUCAAGGCCCCAAACUCAAAGAGUAACCCCCUUCCCCCUUUCAGGCCAGUCCCACUCUCUCUGGGGUUGAUUCCUGGGGCUAAAAGAGAUUCCUUGAUUGAAAGACUGUCCAAGGCAAAAGAGAUCUGGGGGCCAUGUGGGUUCAGUCUUCUCGGUUUACCAAUGAGGAGGCUGAGGCCGCUGAAUGCUCCCCGUUCAAGUUCUUCAUAUUCAUGCACGUGUAGUUUGAAUAGUCUUGGGUGGGGGGAAGUGUACAGCCAUCGUUUCUUUCCAGAAGCCUGUUCGGCCUGGGAUGGACUUAGGCAUCUGUGGUUACACUUGCAACAGGGCCACACCACAGGUGUCCGGCUGCCAGGGAAGAAGGAUGGGCCCUUGCCUGAUGAGCCACUACAGCAGCCGGGGGCAUGAUGUAACCAAACCACCUUAGCCAGGGCACCAAGACAGGUGGGCUGACCUCUGGGUCUAGAAGGGGGCAGACAUCAGUUGCCUGGGAAAGUAGUGGGCACUCCACCGCCCGCAAUUCUCAUAGUCCUGCAAUAACGAAUUCCACUGGGAUUUCCAUGGCAGUGGCUUGCCUGGGAGCCGGGUAGGGGCAUCUGCGUUCCAGAGGCCUGGGAACUCAAAAAGCCAAGCAAGGACCUUGGUUGCAGCAGAUAAAGGUGUAGCGCCUGUUCAAGGGAGAUAUUGAAAUUGUAAUCUUUGCGGUCACGUGACUCAUUAAAUAAUUAAUGCGGAUCGUCAGGAAUGGAUCGGAGUCGUCAGGGCCUCACUAGGAAUGAAUCUCUCAGAAGUGAGCCCCCCAACUUCCUAUUUGAUUUUAAAAAACACAGAUCCUCAGAUUUAUAUCCAAAGGCUUUUUAACUCCUUCAGGAGGGGGUGGAGUGAGCCCUGUCAGCUGGGAGGACCGGAGCUGGCCCAGGCUGGGUCUUGGGGUUUUCCUGCAGGGUUUCUGCGAGUCUGGGGAGCGCACGGCGAUCGGGGAAGCGCCGAGUUCGGGCUCGGAUUCGUGCGGUCACAUCUUGGCUUUGGUGAUGAAGUGGGACGGAUGCGCAGACAGUUGGUAAUGUUCUGAUUCACACUGGGGAAGGCAGCAGCCAUACCACAGGACGGGCGCGCGGCUUUGUUCAAUUUUCCCGGUGUUCAUAAAUCACCCGCGCCGGGCGAGCGAGGGAGCAAGCGAGCGCCAAAACCGCCGAGAGAGCGGCCCCGGCGGCGGCGGCCAUUGCACUGGGAGAACCUGGGCAGCAUCUCUUUGUGACUCAUUAGUCUGCACGAUUUAUGGGCAACAGCAGCCACGAAUAUUUGACUUGGGGAUAAAGAAAUAGCACCAAUAAUCAUAACCAUAAUGACAAUACUUCUAAGCAUCAAGGGGUGGGGGCAUGUGAUGGUGGAUGGUGGCAGAGGGGAUCUUUCUGGGGCUAAGUUGAGUGGCAACUGGCAACGUGCAGGGUAGCUAAACCCCACCUUGCUCAGGGGCAGGCCAGGAUCCCCAAGGUCAGGGGGCACUCCCUUUGGGGACCUAAAGGGCAAGUUUGAACAAGAGAAAAGGCCCAGUGUGGAUUCUGAGUCCCAAGUGCCUGCUGGAUGGUGGGAGCUGCAGGUCGAGGUGGUGGCAGAGGGCAGCUAGCUCCUGGUGUGCAGCCACUUGUUCCAUGCACUGGGGAGCCCUGAAACCUGUGGGCCAGGGGGCUUGUGGGCUGUUUGGUAGCCUCUCUUGGUGCUAUCAGCAAGAUUGCAUGGAUGCAGGACAGCCGCUGAGGGCUGAUUCGGGCAGGCUGGAGUGUGGGGUGGCCCCCCAGGCCUGGGUGAAGGGGUAGUAGGGCAGGGACAGAGCUAUGGAAGCAACGGACCUCAGAGUCCCAGUCCAGCAGAGAACUUCUCCAAGCCAGGCCCCAGGAGGAAUCUUUGCUCUUCCUCAGUGUCUCCCCCUCAUCCCCAGAAAGUUGGCCGACCAUUUGCUAGUUAGAGGCCAAGAGAGGGAGGCACUAUCUGGAGGGAUGAGACAGCAGCAGAAUUAGGGGCCUGGGGCUGCGCAAGGGGCGGCUGCGUAGGGCCCCCAGGUCCGGUAUUGUCUCAUGCUCCGUUCUUCCCAGUUUCCCCCACUUCCAGCAGCCGUAAUUGGCCCACGGUAGUCCCAGCAGCCCACUGGGACUGAGAAGGGACGCCCCAGGGCUUGAAUGAACCAGAAGACAAAACCUCUCAAGACUGCCCCCGGCCCAUGGACAGAGCCGGUAUCUGAUUUCGCGCCAAACAGAAAUGAGCACUAUUAGUGGGGUUUCAGGAGAAUCUGU